rnacentral:rRNA from 1 species
AUUGAACGCUGGCGGCAGGCCUAACACAUGCAAGUCGAACGAGUGGCGGACGGGUGAGUAAUGUCUGGGAAACUGCCCGAUGGAGGGGGAAAACUACUGGAAACGGUAGCUAAUACCGCAUACCAUCGGAUGUGCCCAGAUGGGAUUAGCUAGUAGGUGGGGUAACGGCUCACCUAGGCGACGAUCCCUAGCUGGUCUGAGAGGAUGACCAGCCACACUGGACCUGAGACGCGGUCCAGCCUCCUAAGUGAGGCAGCGGUGAAGCACUUUGCACAAUGGGCGCAAGCCUGAUGCAGCCAUGCCGCGUGUAUGAAGAGGGCCUUCGGGUUGUAAAGUACUUUCAGCGUGGAGGCGUUACUCGCCGAAGAAGCACCGGCUAACUCCGUGCCAGCAGCCGCGGUAAUUC